rnacentral:rRNA from 1 species
UACAGAGGGGGCAAGCGUUAUUCGGAAUUAUUGGGCGUAAAGGGCGCGUAGGCGGCUUUGCGUGUCUUUCGUGAAAUCCCUCGGCUCAACUGAGGACGUGCGGAAGAAACUGCAGGGCUGGAGUCCGGGAGAGGAGGGUGGAAUUCCCAGUGUAGCGGUGAAAUGCGUAGAUAUUGGGAGGAACACCGGUGGCGAAGGCGGCCCUCUGGACCGGUACUGACGCUGAGACGCGAAAGCGUGGGGAGCGAACAGG